CAAGUCAAUAUUUCCCAAGUAAUGGCAUUACUAUACAACAGAUUCAUGGUGUACAGACACCCAGUAAACUCUCAGCAAAAUCAAUUGCUGUGUUGUAUUUUGUCACAGUGAAUGAACCAAAACCUGUGAACAGAAAAGGAAGGGUCUUAAGCCAGGACUGUGGAUCUCCUGGGCUGGGUUUAAGCUGCAAUGCUAAGAUGCAGGUAUCUUCCAUUUAGACAAUACCAAACCUGUGAGCCUGCUCUCCUUUGUGCUGGUACCAACAAAAAUGAUCAGUGCUGGAGCAAUGAGGCUUGCCCUGAAGUUACUGAUCAGGAGGCACUGCUGUCACAGGGACCAAAGAAGAAGGUACAAGUCUCAGCCAGAGCAACUGUGUUACUUGCCAAAGAAUCCAUGGACAGUUCUGGGACCAACCCUUCAAAACGAGUGAUGUCUACC
rnacentral:lncRNA from 12 species